rnacentral:misc_RNA from 1 species
UGGUUAUGGACCCGUGUCUGCCGGUAGAUCCCCCGUUUUUGUGCGGCCGACUACCGGCGCCGUGUCCCGUCGUUCCUGUGGCUUUGUGUUACCGUUGCCUUUCAAGUGCUUGCGUGCUGGUACCCGAACUAAGGGAAUUGGUGCUACGUACAUGUUGCCUCGCGGUGGACGCCUUCGGGUGUGCUGCUGCGACCAAAUGGCGCUUGCGGCGUUGCCUCGUUAUGCUGCCACGUUUACGUGGUUGCUGUUAUCAAGGCAACCUCGCUCCCGCUGUUGGUCUCGGAUGUUGCCCACGAUGAAGUCUCAUGGCCCUUUUUGGUUGCCUAGACCCGACCCUAGGAAGCUCUCCGAAAAUGAGAACAACCGGAACAGGUGUUGCCUCUACGUAUUCCGCAGUUAGUGGUAUGAUACGCAACAUUUUGCGCCGAUCCUCAAAUAAGUAGGACGAGCUUAGCCCGCUCAAUUGUGACAACUGGCCCGGGGACCGCUUCUGGCUUGACACGCAAGUGGACGGACGGACGACUCCCGACGCUGGACGUCAACAAGGA